rnacentral:misc_RNA from 1 species
UAUAAAGUCUUCAUGAAUUGCAUACCCAGGGGUUCAAAAAUUAACCGUAUACAUGAUGUAUACGUCAAAUAUACACUUAGUUGUAUAUCAUGAAAAAUAAAGGAAAAGAGGAGCCAAAAGCCCAAGGAUUUCUACAGGUCCAGCAAACUUGGGCCUAAGUUCAUUUUGUGGGCAUUUUAGUAUAAGACAAGUGGGCUGAAAGCCCAAUUUCGUGGAAUUUGGGCAAAUUGGCCCAAGUUCAAAUAUUACUCUCAUCUUCCCUCAUUAUUUAUGUAUUGUUAUUGUUUAACAUUUUUAUUCCAAUUUAA